GACGAACGCUGGCGGCGUGCUUAACACAUGCAAGUCGAACGGAAAGGCCCUGCUUUUGUGGGGUGCUCGAGUGGCGAACGGGUGAGUAACACGUGAGUAACCUGCCCUUGACUUUGGGAUAACUUCAGGAAACUGGGGCUAAUACCGGAUAGGAGCUCUUGCUGCAUGGUGGGGGUUGGAAAGUUUCGGCGGUUGGGGAUGGACUCGCGGCUUAUCAGCUUGUUGGUGGGGUAGUGGCUUACCAAGGCUUUGACGGGUAGCCGGCCUGAGAGGGUGACCGGCCACAUUGGGACUGAGAGACGGCCCAGACUCCUACGGGAGGCAGCGGUGGGGAAUAUUGCACAAUGGGCGGAAGCCUGAUGCAGCAACGCCGCGUGCGGGAUGACGGCCUUCGGGUUGUAAACCGCUUUCGCCUGUGACGAAGCGUGAGUGACGGUAAUGGGUAAAGAAGCACCGGCUAACUACGUG
rnacentral:rRNA from 1 species